GAGAAAGGACAGCAUAUAUAAAAGUUCUGCAGCAAGAAUAAGCUUGGUGCAACACAGGAACAGAAAAUGGACCAGUGAGGCUAGAGGGGUAUGAACAGAGGGAUGACAGUAGAAGAUGUGGACUCAGGAGAGAGAAAGGCAGUGCUAGAACUCAUGGACCUUGAAGGCCAUGCUUCACUCGGGUCCAGCUUGGGGGUUCUGUCCUUGGAAGUGUCUAACGGGAGAAAUCAACUUCAGUACAAAGGAAGAGGUUUUCAAGGAAGUGAAUUUAAAAUGGAGACCUAAAGAAUUACUCAAAUAUACCCUUAUUGCCACAGAUCUUCAAUACAGUCUUCUCUGAAGUCUCUCGAAUCCUCUAGAGAAUAUGUUGCCCAUCCUGGGGGUGCAGUAGUCACUUACCAAACAAAACCAUGAACUGCUAUUCUUGAUAAAUUCUCUAUUCACAACUAAUGUGAAUUGACAACUCUCACCUUGUAGAAUAAUAAUAAAAUCUGA